AAGAAACUGGGCAUCUAACCCAGAAAUACCAGCUGAGUAGGAGAAGAGAAAAGGCAUCAGCCAGUCAAGGUUUCAGAAGGCUGCCAACAAGAUACAUUCCUUCAGUGUUAAUGGAUAAUUUUGCAUAGAGGUGUGUAUGCCUACUAUGUAUUCUAUGCCUAUUUGUUAUUGCUGCUAAGAAGAAAAAAAUCCAUGUAAGUUAGUGUACUCAUGAAAUACAGAGGAAACAAAAGAAAAGGUGUGAAAAGCUAAUGAAGAGCAAGUGGUCAGUUCUGGUGCGGUUUGAUGGAGUGGAGAAAGCCACCCACCAGAUCCCUUCCAGACUGGCAGUCUUGAAGUACAGACAGACACAAGCUGCUAUGGUAAUUCAAAAGAAGAACUGACUAAAUACAGCGUGGUCAAGAAAGACAAAUAGAUGAGGUGGGGACUUCAGCUGGGUCUCUCACAGGAUGUCCAGGACAUGGUAUUGGUGAGGGGAGGUGGGAAGAGUGUCCCAAAUAUGGAAGAGGGAAGGAACUGUGGAGGAGCGGUCAAAAUGGAUGCUGAUGUUUGCAAAUAACAAAAGGGAUGAAUAAAUGACAGGCUUCUACAAGUAAA